CCUACGGGUGGCAGCAGUAGGGAAUAUUGGGCAAUGGGCGCAAGCCUGACCCAGCGACGCCGCGUGAGGGAUGAAGGUCUUCGGAUUGUAAACCUCUUUCAGUAGGGAAGAAGCGAAAGUGACGGUACCUAAAGAAGAAGCACCGGCUAACUAUGUGCCAGCAGCCGCGGUAAUACAUAGGGUGCAAGCGUUGUCCGGAAUUAUUGGGCGUAAAGAGCUCGUAGGUCGUUUGUCGCGUCGAUUGUGAAAAUCUGAGGCUCAACCUCAGACCUGCAGUCGAUACGGGCAAACUAGAGUGUGGUAGGGGAGACUGGAAUUCCUGGUGUAGCGGUGGAAUGCGCAGAUAUCAGGAGGAACACCAAUGGCGAAGGCAGGUCUCUGGGCCAUAACUGACACUGAGGAGCGAAAGUGCGGGGAGCGAACAGGAUUAGAUACCCUUGUAGUC
rnacentral:rRNA from 1 species